AGAGUUUGAUCCUGGCUCAGGACGAACGCUGGCGGCGUGCUUAACACAUGCAAGUCGAACGGUAAGGCCCUUCGGGAUACACGAGUGGCGAACGGGUGAGUAACACGUGGGUAAUCUGCCCUGCACAUCGGGAUAAGCCUGGGAAACUGGGUCUAAUACCGAAUAGGACCACAGGACACAUGUCCUGUGGUGGAAAGCUUUUGCGGUGUGGAUGGGCCCGCGGCCUAUCAGCUUGUUGGUGGGGUGAUGGCCUACCAAGGCGACGACGGGUAGCCGGCCUGAGAGGGUGUCCGGCCACACUGGGACUGAGAUACGGCCCAGACUCCUACGGGAGGCAGCAGUGGGGAAUAUUGCACAAUGGGCGAAAGCCUGAUGCAGCGACGCCGCGUGGGGGAUGACGGCCUUCGGGUUGUAAACCUCUUUCACCAUCGACGAAGGUCCGGGUUUUCUCGGGCUGACGGUAGGUGGAGAAGAAGCACCGGCCAACUACGUGCCAGCAGCCGCGGUAAUACGUAGGGUGCGAGCGUUGUCCGGAAUUACUGGGCGUAAAGAGCUCGUAGGUGGUUUGUCGCGUUGUUCGUGAAAUCUCACGGCUUAACUGUGAGCGUGCGGGCGAUACGGGCAGACUUGAGUACUGCAGGGGAGACUGGAAUUCCUGGUGUAGCGGUGGAAUGCGCAGAUAUCAGGAGGAACACCGGUGGCGAAGGCGGGUCUCUGGGCAGUAACUGACGCUGAGGAGCGAAAGCGUGGGGAGCGAACAGGAUUAGAUACCCUGGUAGUCC
rnacentral:rRNA from 1 species